UACGUAGGGGGCUAGCGUUGUCCGGAUUUAUUGGGCGUAAAGAGCGUGUAGGCGGCCAAGUAGGUCCGGUGUGAAAACUCGAGGCUUAACCUCGAGAUGUCAUCGGAAACCAUUUGGCUAGAGUCCGGAAGAGGAAAGUGGAAUUCCUGGUGUAGCGGUGAAAUGCGCAGAUAUCAGGAGGAACACCGGUGGCGAAGGCGGAUCUCUGGGCCAUUACUGACGCUAAGGAGCGAAAGCGUGGGGAGCGAACAGG
rnacentral:rRNA from 1 species